rnacentral:rRNA from 1 species
CGGACGGGUGAGUAACGCGUGGAUAACCUGCCGUAUACCGGGGGAUAACACUUAGAAAUAGGUGCUAAUACCGCAUAAGCGCACGGCUCCGCAUGGGGCAGUGUGAAAAAUUCCGGUGGUAUACGAUGGAUCCGCGUCUGAUUAGCUAGUUGGCGGGGUAACGGCCCACCAAGGCAGCGAUCAGUAGCCGGCCUGAGAGGGUGGACGGCCACAUUGGGACUGAGACACGGCCCAGACUCCUACGGAAGGCAGCAG